rnacentral:lncRNA from 1 species
CAUCAUAUGACACAGUUGCAGCAGCCAUAAAGGAUCCACUCGUCUUGGCCAAAUUGCAGUUCUACGCAGCAAUUGCCAGGACCUUCAAUCCCUUCCUGAAAAAAUAUCAGACGGAUGAGCCUGUGCUCCCAUUCCUCCCCAAAGGACCUGACCGAGUUGAUGAUAACAAUUUACUUAACGUUAUAACCACUGAUUGGGCUCAAUUGAUCCAUUAUGACAAAAUGGGGUUUGUGGUUAGGAUGUGUAAAAAAUAGUGGCUACAUUGUGCAUCAUCAUAAGAUAAUUUGAUGUUGGUGAUUAAUGUGCCGCACCAGACAUUUUUGUGUUUGUCUGUUGACAGUCUACCCAGACGCUUCAUAAAGAGAGAAGUACUACACGAUAUCACUGCCCUGCAGCUGACCAAACUGGAUGUCACAGACAAGACCAUCUGGCUCAGCCCACAAGACAUCAGCAUUGGUCUAGGUGCAGAGUCAGUCCUUAAGGUAGUGUGGUGUUUUCAAAAGAUAAUUUUACAAAUGGUUAGGGUGAACCAGGUGUCAUUGAAGACAUGUUCUAUAUUCAUGGCUAAUUUCUCUCUCUAGAGAAUCAAAGGUGCAGAGCUCAGGGUGCUCGAGUUCAAGAGAGAGUGCAUGCAGGGACUGAGUAACAUGAUCAAGAAAGUGCAGGACAAGAGCCCCCUCAAGUAUCUGACUGUUAGGCAGAUGGUGUGCCUGAAUCCGUCAGUAAUGUAUAGAGAACCAGAAAGAGGCAGGAAUCACAUGAAAGGGCUGGUUCAAAGGUUUCUCCAGGACAAACAGCUUACUGAUACUUCUUCGGGGGAUGUCAUACUGCAGCAGUUUGACAGUCUCCUUUCCUUGGAGAGCCGGAGUGAGGACUUCCUCUCCUUUCAAACCAUGCAGACGAGGCUGGACAUCUUCCUGAGCAGCGCCAUGGAGCCUUAUCCCGAGCUGUGGGCCUUCUGCAAGAAGCUGCUCAUCCUCAUCCACGGUCAAGCUACAGUUGAGCGUGGAUUCUCAAUCAAUAAAGAGGUGGAGUCUGAUAACUUGGCGGAGGAUACAGUGGUCACACGGAGACUGGUGUGUGACUACAUCAUACAACAUGGAGGUGUUACCAAGGUUCCACUCAGUAAACCGCUACUGGAAAGUGUAGCAAGGGCAAGGACAAGGUAUCGUACCCAUCUGGAGACCAAAAGAAGGAACAGGGAGGCAAAAGACCAGGCUCUCAAGAGGAGGGAAGCAGAGGACUGUCUUGAGGAGCUGAAGGUUAAGAGGAGACGUGUACAGGAGGUAUCUGAGGGUCUGGCUAGGGAUGCAGACAAGAUGGCUGAGGAGGCUGAAGCGAAGGCAGGGAGCAAGAUGGCUGGCCUGAUCACCAGGUCAAACAUUCUGCGGAGAGGCCAUAAGGAGAAGUUGGCAGAACUGGCUCUCCUUGAUAAAGAGAUCGCUGCUAAGAGUGCAGAGCUUAGGAGUUGACUGUGUGAUCAUAAUUUUAUUUAUUGUUGAGUUGAUUUUCAUUGUUUAUUGCUCAGGAGUCUGUGCUGUUGGCGUAAGUACUCACCACUAUGCUGCAAUGUUCCAUCAUUCCAUAAUGCUUUACAGUCCACAUUUUCACAUUUGUUGAAAUAAAUGAACACAUUUUGAACAAACGCUGUCGGUAGGUCUGUGAAAUAGGCCGU